rfam:Fukomys damarensis contig144819, whole genome shotgun sequence.
UGAUGUCUCUCACCCAGCCCCGAAGACCCCCUGUGGGUGAGGGAGUAGUUAGCAGGAUC